rnacentral:rRNA from 1 species
CACGUAGGGGGGCAAGCGUUGUCCGGAUUUAUUGGGCGUAAAGAGCUCGUAGGCGGCUCGGUAAGUCGGGUGUCAAAUCCUCAGGCUCAACCUGGGGCACCACCCGAUACUGCUGUGGCUAGAGUCCGGUAGGGGAGCGUGGAAUUCCUGGUGUGAGCGGUGAAAUGCGCAGAUAUCAGGAGGAACACCGGUGGCGAAGGCGGGUCUCUGGGCAACAACUGACGCUGAGGAGCGAAAGCGUGGGGAGCGAACAGG